UUUUUUGUCAUAGAAGCUGAAUAAUUGCUAAGAGUAAAAGAAAUAGAGUCCGGGCAAACAUAACUUUCAAUAUUAUACUUACCAUUACCAUGUAAUAAAGUUAUUUUUGGUUUAUAAUUACCAACUUGUUGAUUUUUAACAUCCUGGUACUUCUUGUGGUGUAUAUGUUGAUACAUAUGAUGACACGGGAAGAAAAAUUGAACAAAUGAAGAACUACAAGCCUACAGAGGAUGCCAAUGCUACGGUAGAUCAUUUUUUGGUUGUAAUGAAUAAAGAAAAUAUGGAUACCGCCGACUUUAUGGUAGAGGCGUUACAAAUACAUUAGUGAAAAAGGAAGAUGGUGCUUGCACAUCAUACAUGAUUCCGGAAGGGCUGAUGGAAUCAUUUAAAGCAAACGUUGAAGUUGAGAAAAACCUGUUGCUGGAAAUGCGUAAAGAGAUUGAAGAGGAUCUCGAAAGAAAAAACGCUGAGCUGGAAGCUAUGCAAAAAGACAUUGACAGCCAACAACAAGACUUGGAAGCUAUGAUGCAAAAAGUUAUGAAACGACUGCCUGUUGGAGAUUGAGAUGAGUAGAAUGUUUCCAUUUCUUUUUAUUAUUGUAUUGAAACUUUGUGUUGACAACAUUGUUAUUUAAGUUUGAACAAGUAUGUUAAAGUACACUAUUUCACUAUCAAUGAUAUUUGUCAUUAUUUGUUCUAGCGUAA